UCUUUUUCUCUUCUGCUCUUCUUCCAUAUGAAGACACAGUGUUCCUCCCCUCUGGAGGAUGUGGCAUUCAAGGUGCCAUCUUGGAAGCAGAGAAUAUACACUCUUUAGACACCAGAUGCUGAUGCCUUGAUCUUGGACUUCCCAGCCUUCAGAACUGAGGAGCCAUGGACCUCCCCUCCAGCAUGCAGUGUGUGCCUGGGAUGACUGCUGUCCCCUCUCCGCCAGCAUCACUCUGGUCCUCAUCCUUCGCCUGGACCACGGCCGCAACCUCCCGCCUGGGCCUCCUGCCCUCUACAAUCGAAUCCUCCUUAUAUGGUAGCCAGUGUGAUCUUUAAACAGUGGAAUUCAAAUCCAGUAACUCUCUCCAACACCUCCCCAGCACUUGGACCAGAAUCCAGACCCCUUGACCAGCACAGGAAGCUCCUAUGAUGCCCCCCGCCUGACCCUGCAAACUCAGCACACAAACUCUCUCGCUGUUACAGGAACCUGCCAAGUGGGUCCCCACUUUAGGACCUUCACACUGGCCUUUCCCUUGCUCUGGAAUGGUCAGACAGCUGCCUCCUUCUGCUCAUCACCUCCCAGUUUAACUUUCGCCUCCCCAAGAGGCCUUUCCUGAUCUGACCACCCCACUCGAAGUAAACACCAAGUCACUGUUGAUGACUUCACCCUAUUUUUGUUACUUUUUAAUACUUCACAGUACUGAAUUUCAGAUGUAUUCCUCUCUAAUAUUUUUCUUUAUUUUCUUUUAUUUUAUUUUAGAGACAGGGUCUCAGUCUGUCUCCCAGGCUACAGUGCAGUGGUGCAAUUAUGGCCACUGUAGCCUCUAGCUCCCAGGCUUAGGUGAUCCUCCCACCUCAAUCUCCUGAGUAGCUAGAACUAGGGGCAUGCACCACUGCGCAUUUUUUGUAGAGAUGGGGUUUUGCCUUGGUAUUGAACUUCUGGGCUCAAGUCAGCUUCCUGUCUUGGCCUCCCAAAGUGCUGGGAUUACAGGCAUGAGCCACUGCGCUGGGCCUGAUAUUUUUCUUAUUUUUCUCUCUUUCUCUCAAUCUCUCCAUCAUCCACCUACCAUUUUAAUUUUGAGCAUAAACUUUAUGAGAGCUUUGUCUGCUUUGUUUGCUGCUGUAUACAGAACAAUGCGGGCCUGUUCUUUUACGAGUGUCAUUUAGUUCCUCUUUUGAAAUUAUUAUUCUACAUAUAUAACGAUAUAUUUACGUAUUUUACAUAUAAUGUUUCUAUAUUAUUAACAGCUUAAAAAGGCAAUUAAAAGUCAACACUGGAGAAAAAUUUCUCUGAGCAUAC
rnacentral:lncRNA from 10 species